rnacentral:rRNA from 1 species
CCUACGGGAGGCAGCAGUGGGGAAUAUUGCACAAUGGGGGAAACCCUGAUGCAGCGACGCCGCGUGAGUGAAGAAGUAUUUCGGUAUGUAAAGCUCUAUCAGCAGGGAAGAAAAUGACGGUACCUGAUUAAGAAGCCCCGGCUAACUACGUGCCAGCAGCCGCGGGAAUACGUAGGGGGCAAGCGUUAUCCGGAUUUACUGGGUGUAAAGGGAGCGUAGACGGCAGCGCAAGUCUGAAGUGAAAUGCCGGGGCUUAACCCCGGAACUGCUUUGGAAACUGUGCAGCUAGAGUGCAGGAGAGGUAAGUGGAAUUCGUAGUGUAGCGGUGAAAUGCGUAGAUAUUAGGAGGAACACCAGUGGCGAAGGCGGCUUACUGGACUGUAACUGACGUUGAGGCUCGAAAGCGUGGGGAGCAAACAGGAUUAGAUACCCUAGUAGUC